AGGAGAGCAGAACUCACUGCAAGCAAAAAGGGGAAGAAACGCUCACAAAAGGGAAGGCAGCAGGAAAAGUAAUCGGGUUGAGCUGUGGAAAUGUGUUCUUCAACGUUGGAGGUGGGAUCUGGUGGGCAGUGUUUGGAUCAUGGGGAUGGAUCCCUCAGGAAUGGCUUGGUGUCCACCCCACGGUAAUGGGUUCACAAGAGA
rnacentral:lncRNA from 1 species